rnacentral:rRNA from 1 species
GGUCAAGCGAACAAGGGCGCAGGGCGAAUGCCUUGGCACUGGGAGCCGAUGAAAGACGUGAUAAGCUGCGAUAAGCUUCGGGGAGCUGCAAAUAAGCAUUGAUCCGGAGAUUUCUGAAUGAGGAAACUCACCUGGGUUCAUACUCAGGUACGUUAUACUGAACUUCAAAAUAGGUAUAUCGAGGGAACCGCCUGAA